rnacentral:rRNA from 1 species
UACGGGGGGGGCAAGCGUUGUUCGGAAUUACUGGGCGUAAAGGGCUCGCAGGCGGCCAACUAAGUCAUACGUGAAAUCCCUCGGCUUAACCGGGGAACUGCGUCUGAUACUGGAUGGCUUGAGUUCGGGAGAGGGAUGCGGAAUUCCAGGUGUAGCGGUGAAAUGCGUAGAUAUCAGGAGGAACACCGGUGGUGUAGACGGCUCUCUGGACCGUAACUGACGCUGAGGCACGAAAGCGUGGGGAGCGAACCGG